CAGUCAUUCAGCAAGUUUUUUUUAAAAAAAAAUAUUUUUUUCAGAACUAUUCUUAUGAGCAACACUUUCCCAGUGGACCUGCUUGGAUAAAUUAACUGUGCACAUGCCCCCAGAGAAACUAGGUGAGUUAGCCUGCCGUGAGCAUUUACAAGAUAUGAAGCAGUGCAUUUACUGCUCACAUUAGUAAGCAGUUACCAGAUAUGAAGAAGACAUCUGCCAAAAGAGUAAUUUUCACUUUAAAUUGGUUAAUAUUGAACAGUUCUUGGAAGGAAGAAAGGAAAAAGGAAGGAAGGAAAGAAGGAAGACAUGCAGGAUUCAAUCAGCUUUCCCUAUGAUCAGCUGAUCCCUAACAAGAAGCCAUAGAUCAGCAAACUGGAAGGUUUGCCUGUUUCCUACCAUCUAUAUAGACAGGUGUCCAAGCAACAGAAAAGAAAUUUCAAAUCAUAGAAAUGUAAUUUUGCAAAAGGUGAAAGUGGUGAGGAAAAAUAACAUAAAAUUAUUAUCUAUUUUGCUGGGUGUGGUAGCACAAAUCUGUAAUCCCAGAAACUCAAGAGGCAGAGGCAGGAAGAUCACAAGUUCAAGAUCAGCCUGAGCAUUAAUAUUAUCAAACAUGACCAUACUUCCAAAAGCACUUGUUAGAGUCUGUAAACAAGUCAAGAUGGCGCCUGGCAUUUUGCCAGAGGGAGUGGUUUGAGAAGUAACGCCAGCGAGCCAUUAAGUGUGGAGAUUCCUGAUUGGUUGACUGCUGUAUCUAGUUUAUGUUAAUUAAGAUAAGCUGUGUGGAAUGUAUAUAUACCCCUCCUGUCCUACAAUAAAGGGCUCCCACUCCUGCUGUAUCAAUCUACACAAGUUGUUCAUCACCCCCCAGUUAUUUUGCUGCAGCCAGCCUGCGGCAAGCACUAUACAGAUUUAAUGCAAUUACAAUCAAAAUACCACUGACAUUCCUCCUCAUAGAAAUAGAAAAAGCAAUCAUGAAAUUCAUCUGAAAAAAUAAGAGACCCAGAAUAGCUCAAGCAAUCCUUAGCAGGAAGAGUGAAGCAGGAGGCAUCACUAUACCAGACCUUAAAUUAUACUACAGAGCAAUAGUAACAAAAACAGCAUGAUAUUGGCACCAAAACAGACUGGUAGACUAAUGGUACAGAAUAGAGGACAUAAACACUAACCCAUAAAAUUAUAAUUAUCUUAUAUUAGACAAAGGAGCCAAAAACAUGCAUUGGAGAAAAG
rnacentral:lncRNA from 1 species